UGCUGUUUGACACAAUAACUUUUGGUGUCACCUUCCCCUCUCGUUGCCCGACAUUUUUCUUAUUUGAGGGAAAUGGUUAUGAAAUAUGGUGCUCCAGACUAGAUCUCCCUGAAAGAAAAUCUACGUGGGCGGUGCCAAGGCACGGACACCCCUCCCUUUAUCCUGAAUUCAGACAUACGGAGAAACCAAAUGGGAAUCACACCAUUCAGGGGUUGCUACCACCGUCCUGUUGCUGCGCUGCUGCCACUGAUGUUGAGACUAACGUCAUCCCCUCUCAUCACUGAUUGGCCCGCCAUCCUGGUUACCGAUGGAAACGUCAGUGCAUAGAGGAUACCGACUAGUACGGGCCAGGCUGACAAAAUGCAACAGCUGAAAUGAUUAUCGAUCCCCCAGAUGUUACUGUGAUAAAUGGUACCCAUACAAUUCAUCUAAAAAGCUCCAUAAGCACAAGGCUCAGAUACUUAUGGCAGUGGUCGGGGUUCAUGCGUCACAUCAUGUCAUGUCCGCUUUAUGUGAGCCGACAAGAGGCCAUUACUGAUCGCUGUGUAGAGAUCCAGAGGGCACUGCACAACAGUAACACAACACAGCGCAAGUUACUUCCAAGAAUAUCAGUGAUGGCUUAAAAUGUCCAAUCGCCUGGUGAACUUAACAGCUAUACUUUUGUCACUGUGGAUGACGUUGUUGUGAAAGAACAGAGAUAUAUCCGGAAUAUGCCUGAAUCUGUAUAACACAGGCGAGAGCAAAAUAAUAAAAUAGACUAGACUUUAUUCUUAAUGUUGGAUUUCACAGUAAGAGAUACUACUCAAGAACCGAGAGGAAUAUUUGCCAUCAUGAGAGAUAUUUACAAACUGAUAUCCACCCACCCACAAAUACACACACACACACACACACUCACUCACUCACUCACUCAUAUACACUAUCUUUCUCUCUCUCUCUCUCUCUCUCUCUC